GACGAACGCUGGCGGCGUGCUUAACACAUGCAAGUCGAACGGAAAGGCCCUGCUUUUGUGGGGUGCUCGAGUGGCGAACGGGUGAGUAACACGUGAGUAACCUGCCCUUGACUUUGGGAUAACUUCAGGAAACUGGGGCUAAUACCGGAUAGGAGCUCCUGCUGCAUGGUGGGGGUUGGAAAGUUUCGGCGGUUGGGGGUGGACUCGCGGCUUAUCAGCUUGUUGGUGGGGUAGUGGCUUACCAAGGCUUUGACGGGUAGCCGGCCUGAGAGGGUGACCGGCCACAUUGGGACUGAGAUACGGCCCAGACUCCUACGGUAGGCAGCAGUGGGGAAUAUUGCACAAUGGGCGGAAGCCUGAUGCAGCAACGCCGCGUGCGGGAUGACGGCCUUCGGGUUGUAAACCGCUUUCGCCUGUGACGAAGCGUGAGUGACGGUAAUGGGUAAAGAAGCACCGGCUAACUACGUG
rnacentral:rRNA from 1 species